UUUACUUUGCCUGUUACAGUGGUAAGUAGAGAUCUACAAUAUGUCAUUUUGAAAUUCUGUCAAUUCAAUAUUUACAACAAACUAUUAGUCACUGGCCAUAAUAUUUUGCUGCUUGGUGGAUGAAAAGCCUGUUUUUAUUAAUAUGACAUAGCCAUUCCAGAAGAUGUCGUGAAGAUGCAGGUGAUCAAAGUGCGGCUGCAGUCCGCCUCCUCAGCGGACCUGGAGGUCAUGAAGGACGCCUUGUUGCAGCAGCUGCGUCAGAGACUGAAGGACCAAGGCGUGAGUGACGACGUGCAGCUCCGAUGGGUGACGCAGCCUGAUGGGAGGGUCUUCCACAAGGAAGGGAAAGAGGAGGAGAAGAACGAGGAGGAGCAGGAGGAGAGCUGCGGUCCCUGAACAUGCUUUUGAUUCUUCACAUAGUGCCGUUUCACUGGAGAAUAUUAUUCAUGACUUAGCAUGAAAAAGUA